rnacentral:tRNA from 1 species
UCCCUGGUAGCUCAGCCGGUGAAGAAUCUGCCUGCAGUGCAGGAGGCCCUGGUUCGAUUCCUGGGUCGGGAA